rnacentral:rRNA from 1 species
UACGUAGGGGGCAAGCGUUGUCCGGAUUUAUUGGGCGUAAAGCGCUCGCAGGUGGUUCGUCGCGUCGUGCGUGAAAGACCCCGGCUCAACUGGGGGGUGUCGUGCGAUACGGGCGGACUGGAGGCCAGUAGGGGGAUGCGGAAUUCCGGGUGUAGUGGUGGAAUGCGUAGAGAUCCGGAGGAACACCAGCGGCGAAGGCGGCAUCCUGGACUGGUCCUGACACUCAGGAGCGAAAGCGUGGGGAGCGAUCCGGG